rnacentral:rRNA from 1 species
UACGGGGGGUGCGAGCGUUGUCCGGAAUUACUGGGCGUAAAGGGUGCGUAGGCGGGUCUUUAAGUCAGGGGUGAAAUCCUGGAGCUCAACUCCAGAACUGCCUUUGAUACUGAGGAUCUUGAGUUCGGGAGAGGUGAGUGGAACUGCGAGUGUAGAGGUGAAAUUCGUAGAUAUUCGCAAGAACACCAGUGGCGAAGGCGGCUCACUGGCCCGAUACUGACGCUGAGGCACGAAAGCGUGGGGAGCAAACAGG